GGCCGACCAACAUCUAGUAUGGUGCUGAUUGUGGGCCGUCCCACAUUAGUGUGGGCGUGGGUACAUGUAGGCACCAAGUUAGACGCCAAUCCUUUCUCUACUACGAGUCCUUCUUUGAUAAGUUAUGGACUGAUUCAAAGCUUAUUUGAAUUAGGAGUCCUAAUCUUAUGGGUUAUAGAGAAUCAUCUAUAAAUAGAGAAGGUCUCUACCUAUGAUGCAUAGCAAUCAGAUUGUGAGAAAGAGAGAAAGAGAGAGAGAGAGGCGUGAGAGAGAUUGUGGGCGUCAUCGGGCGUCACCCUUGGGCAUCCUCCUUCUUGCUGCCCCUCCUCUUCCUUGCCGUGGACUCUAUUGUGGGCAUCUUAUUGCUGGUGUGAGAUGUCACACUAGUGCCUCUCUUUCCUCUCUUGGUGACCUUGCGAAGGUACUUCUAUCCGAGACUUCAUCCUAUUUUUCUGCGGAGUUUGGCAUGCACGCGAAGUAAAGGACCUGCAGAUCCAAGCCUACAUGAGGACUUGAAUCCAGAUUGCAGGGAUUUGAUUCCUAUUCUGCUGCAAUCCAGAUAAAGAUUUGAUCUUUAUUUAAUUCAAUAUAUAAAAAAUUUUUAGAUGCAAUCCUGGUUAUCCACUAGAAACAGACUUUCUUUCGCUUCAGUAAUGAAUGAAAAUAAUGAAGAAAAGAUCACACAAUCACAAACACAAUACUUUUAUAGUGGUUUGGUGCAAAACUCGACACCUACAUCCACUCGUCAAGUAAACCACUUGAAAAUUCAACUAUAAUCACUCAAUUGAUUACAGUUCGAUUGUUUUCUUUGGGUUCAUAAUCUAAUCCAAUUGAUUUUGACCUAGGCUCACCAACCACAACCUUUACAAUGAUUAUUUUUUUAGGCUAACAAUCAAUCUCGAUUGAUUUUACCCUCAGGUCACCAAUCAAACCAAUACAAUAUCCAACUCAAGGCUUGGACCAACCUAAGUUUCUCACCCCAAGAAACUUGAAAACAAAAAAUACAAUCACAAUGAAUAUAAGAUUAAAAGAGUUUGGAAAUAAAAAUACUAUAAAGCCUAAGAGAAGAGAAUCGAGUUGAAAGCUUGUUGGCUUAACUCUUUCCUUGAAUGCUUGAAGAAAGUUGGUUAAGUUCUUCAAUGCUUGCAACCUAUCUUCCUUUACUUUGAGAAGGAUUGGAAGGAUAAAAAACAACUUAAAAUUACUCCACAAUAAUGGCUC
rnacentral:lncRNA from 1 species